CAAAAUGUUGGCAGUUAUGUUCAAGACUGGAUUAAUAUAGGUUUGUUAUUUUACUAGCAUAUCCAAAGGCAAAUAUUCCUACUGGACUCCACCCUUCAGCUGUGAAGCAGGUUGUAAAUCAGUCCCUUUUUUGUUGUUUUUAAAGUAGUUUAGGGGCUUUAAAAUGGUAUUUAACAUUAUUACAGUCUGCUUGAAUAUUGUACAAUUUCUAACUAUUUCUUCUUUUUUAUAUCCACUUUCCCGUCACUCAGAAGCUUCUAAAGAAAACUGCAGUCACUGCUAAUGCUAAGGUGUAGCAGAAGUGCUUAUACUGUUUUUGAUGACUGUUCUCUCCCAAGUAUUUAGAUGCCGUAAUUUUUGACUUGCUGGGAAAGCCCAACAUUUACAGAGGAAAGGAAGGAAGGCCAGGUUUUCAGAUUUUGUCUUUAAGGCUGGAAUGCGUAAAUUUGUCAUUGUGUCUUUCCCUAGGAAAGCUCCAGUAGGUGCAGAGCCAACGGUCCUUGUCCCUUUGCUGCCAUUGUUAAUGGAUCAUUAAGACUAUGGAAAAAAAUAUUCUGCGUCUGGAAAUAUGGAAGGAAAUGGCUACUGGAUCAGGAGCCAGCAGUUCUGAUGCUAGCACACAUUCAGGCGCAUCCAUCAAGCACUCUAUGACCUGUGAAAAUUAUAUCCUACAAUAUCCCUGUUCAUGUGUUUCUAUUUUGAAAUUUUGGUCUCCGUGUUUAUUCCCUUUCCUCAGAGUCAGAGCAAUGUAACCUGGGUGCUGGAGGAAAAUGUUAUUUGAGCUGAUCUUAGACUCUUGACUGAUUGUAAAAAUAGGGCCUUCCUAUCCAUUAAGAUAAGACUGAAACUCUGGUGACAUUAAGCACAGCUAUAACAGCUUUGGUGUUCUGGUCUGCAAAAAAAUGCCUAUCCUGUCUAGCAGGGCCAUUGUGUUGGUAUGGUCUCUCAGACCUGGGUAAGAGGUUCCAGUCUAUCAGAUGUCACCUCCCACCAUGUCCGAGCAGCUCCUGUCCCCAGAGGGAGAGAACAAGUGAACGUAUGAUGUUUCAGAGCUCUUGUGAUAAAGCUUGAGUACCCUGGAAAGCAAAUAUGCUUCUCACUCGCCUCAUUCUCUUCUGAUUUCAUGUCCCUGGACUCUCUUGUGCUGCUUGUUUUCAUUUUCUUUGCAAGGCUGCCCUUAUCUGGACUCCUGCUGGAUCUCAUGUUCCCGCUCACAUCCUGCCCCUGUGCUGAGGAGGGCACAUGGGAUCAGAGCAGUCUGUGCUGGGAGCACUCAGCCUCACUGACGGGCCAGCAUCUGUGCACAGCAUGCUGUGCGAACCCAAGGCUGCUGGCUGUGUUGGUAGCAUGUUUAGAGUUUCCCAAAUGUAAGGACUAAAAGGGGAAAAACAUUAUCAUUUUUCAAUCCCUGUAAUUUAAUCACUGUGUAGAUUGACAUCCAACCUUACUUCCAUGCCCUCCCAGCACUGUGUUCAUGUCCCUGCUGCCCCAGCAGCAGUGUCUGCAGCCUGCACACUGGGCAAGGGAACAAUUCUCAUCAUGGCCUGUCUUUAGGUAUUUUUCUGUUUUCAGGUCAUGUUAGCUUUAAGCUGGAUCAGGUUCCUCAUCUGACCUACUGCAUAGUUUCAGAAGCACCAGUAUCAACAAGAGGGAGAAGGCAGGGCUGCUGGAGGCAAGGGAAGCAUGAGCCGACACCAAUCUCCCCUGUCCUUGGUUGUGGGCUUCUGUGAGACCUCUGUCCAUGUGCUCCCAGCCUGUGUCUCCCAUCACACCAGCCAUGGUAGUGUCACCAGGACCAGCUGCUGACCUGGUGCUCAGGUUACUCAGCUGAGCUGAUGUGUCUGUACAGAGCCCUGUGGUCCAGCACAAGGAACUCAUUGGAAAUGAUUGACAGUGGACAGGCGAGGGAGAGCUGGGCCAUUUCUCUCAGGUUGACAGUGGGUCACAACAGGUGUGGUGUGAAACUGGACCUGCACGAAGGUAUGAAUCAAAGUACCAGCUCAGGGUCCUCAUGUCAGACACAAGCAAGCAUUUAAUGAUUUAGCUUGAGGAUGGGACAGAAACAAUUUACUUAAUACUUCUGCAGGUAUCAAUCUGUGUGCUGUGGCUGGCUCCCUGCUCCCCAUCCGGUACGCACACACGCGCACACAAACACACACACACAAUGCCUUCUUUGUUGGUGUGGAAAAAUGCUCCACGGGGAGCUGCACACCCCAGAAUGCAGCUCUGUUUGCGUCUAGAGCCGUGAUGGAUCACUGUGGGGAAGCUUAAAUCUCUGCAGCGCUCAGAUCUCUAUCAAAAAAUGAGGGCGGCUGACGUACGCUCCAUUUAAUGUAAACUGCACGUAUAGCUGGAUUCCUUACCACCUUGUCAGUGCCACCCCCAACUGCCAAGGCCUGAGAGCCCCUGAGUCUACUGAAACCAAAGGGAGGUGAGCAUUUUCUUUGACUUGGAUGCAGGUAUUUUAAAGGGAACAUGGGAAAUAAUUAACACAUAAUUAACCUGUGGAACUUUCUGCCAGGAAGUAUUACUGAGGCCAACUGCUCUGCAGGGUUAGGAAUUUAUAUGAAUAAUAAGAGGUCCAAAGUGGAAAAGGUUUCAGCCUUCAAAGUAGGGCGGACAUCAAUAACCAAAGUGAGUUAAGGAGAUGGUUUUCUUAUGAAUAAAUUAUUUUCUAGUGGUCUAUUGUGGGAUGUCUCUCACAUUUCUGUGAACCCUCUGGGAAUAACUAAUGAUGAAGACAGUAGAACACUGGUCUGAUCCACUCUGUCAAGCGCCUUUCCUAUUAAAAUACAGUAUUGCAGAUGUACUCUAGAGCUACUAGAGCAGCACUCACCCUGGUUCUUACUGUGCUCUGGAAAAUAACUGCUUGUUCAAACAAUGUGAAAAACCAUAUCUUAUUGUAUCCCAGACCUGUCACUCUUGUAGACUGCCAUUAUUUGACUGGUUCAUUGUCACUUCAUCUCACUGGAAAGUUGUUCAUUAAAAAUGAAAACAUAUAUAUGGAGGAGGACAGUCUGUUUACUGUGAACUACAUAGAACUGUCAGAACAGAUCAGACUGGAAGGCUGACCUGCCCAGGAUGGACCUUUGCAGUGGUCUGCAGGUGUCUGAAGAAAGAAUGUAAUCAAUGGAGAAAGUGAAGAAUCAUCCUUCAUGGUAAACCAUUUAAUUGUGCCACUUCAUAUCUUGUGGAUUCCUUGUGGAGCUUCACUUGUGGAUUCCCUGUGGAGCUUCACCACAGGGCUUAAUAGACACUUAAAUUUUUAUUGCUUCUUGAAUCUUUUUAAUAUUUUGGCCUUCACUACAUGCUGUAGGCAGUAUCAUCCCAUGUUGUCUCACCUUCUGGGUGAGAAGGUGCCUCCUCUUGGUUGUUCUGAGCUUGCUUGGCCCAGUCCCAUAGGAUGGGCAAGAGGGAGCAGUCAUUCCCACAAGUUACCAUCUCUUGUACCUUCUUCUUCCUGCCUCCUUGCAGCUUUCGUGUGCAUCAGUUUCUGCCCAUUGCCCCUUGUCCCAUUUCUCAGCACCACUGAGCAGAGCCUGGAUCCAUCCUCUCAACAGGGCCCCUUCAGAUAUUUAUAUACACUGAUAAGGUCCUCUCUCAGCUGUCUCAAGGCUGAGCAGGCCCAAGUCUCUCAGCCUUUCCUCUGAGAGAUGCUCCUGUCCCCUCAUCAUCUUUGUGGUCUCUGCUGGACCUGUUCCAGGAGCUCCAUGUCCCUCUUGUACUGAGGAGCCCAGAAUUGGACGCAGCACUCCAGAUGCACCUCACCAGGGCUGAGUAAAGGUGGAAAGCUUGCAAAUUGUUGUUUUGCAUCCUGCAAAUAGGCAAUAGGUUUGACUUCCUUUUCUCCUUGACUUUGCAAGAAAUCUGAGUUUUUGCUAUCUACUUUCUCUGUAGCAUUUGUGACUUUACACACUUCUAUUGUAUCUGCUCAUCUUUGAAAAGAAAUUACUUAAGUUUAUUGGGGUGGCAAAGUCCCAUUUCCGCUGACUGCUUCCAUGUAUGAAAGUUCCAAAUUUCCUUGUCUUUCCCUGCCCUCCACACACUUUUCUCCAAUAUUUUUUUGCCUUUCCCUUUUGAAUUCUGAUGCAUCCUCCUAGAGACUGGGUAGCCAAAACAGCAUCAGGGAUUCACAACACUGUGAAUAGGGACACUGUGCAUUUGCACAGUGGGACAGUGAGCACUGUGGUUGUGUUCUCAUGACCCCAAGUUCACGUUUGCUCUUUAGACCACUGUGAAACCCAGAGCUGAUACUUUCAGAGGACAAACCACAAUGAGUCCCAGUUCUAUUUCCUAAGUAGUUUUUGAGCCUGCUUAAGGAGCACAACUCCAGGAACAACUCCUUGAGACAACUCCUUGUGGAUAUUUUCUCUCCACUGCACAAAGGAAAAGCAGUUAUUCUAAAUUUUUCAUAAGAAUGAAACCAGGGCCAUUUUGAGUCAGACCAGAAAUGCAUCUUGGCCACAGCCCUGUCUCUCUGAUAGUGGCUUGCGGGGGCUUAGGGAGAGAACCAGGUGUUAUACUGUGAUAUUUUCUGUACAUAUUUUCCAUGUCUGUGGCUGGGGAACUUCUUGGCCAGGAGGUUGCAUUUGUUUUUGUUCUCACAGCCCUUAGGAGACCUUUCCUUUGUUCACAUGCACAUGGAUUUUACCUUUUAUUCCAGCCAUUUUUUAAUCUGCAAGAGGAACUCAUCCAUAUCCUUGAAUACCCUUGGUGUAAGGAAAAGCAGAAACCCAAAGGGGAUUGCAGCUCAUGAAAACUCUCCAACGCAGCCUGAAACUAGCAGCCUCAGAGCACUUGGAAAUGAUGGGAAGGUGCACAGAUCUCCCUGGGUUACUCAGCCUUCUGCUGCCAUGGCUGGACUGUUAUCAGUACCCAGCAAGCCAGACAAAAGCUACUUCUGCUGUCUGCUCAAAUCACAGUCACACCUCUAGGCUGCAGUAUAGACACCCCCUCUGUCUGGGAUUGUUACACUACAUGAGUUCUUCCAGUUUUAAUAAAUUUGCAGUGAAAUAUU